GAUCAUGGCUCAGGACGAACGCUGGCGGCGUGCUUAACACAUGCAAGUCGAACGAGAGGACAAGAGAAGCUUGCUUCUUUUGGAAUCGAGUGGCAAACGGGUGAGUAACACGUAAACAACCUGCCUUCAGGAUGGGGACAACAGACGGAAACGACUGCUAAUACCGAAUACGCUUGGGAGACCGCAUGAUCUACGAAGGAAGGGUCGCCUCUACCUAGUAAGCUAUCGCCUAGAAGAGGGUUUGUCG
rnacentral:rRNA from 1 species